CACCCCAUCUUUUAUUGCAGAGCAUAGUUCCAUUUGGAGAGAAAGCUAAGGCUGUGCAUUCCUGGACACUGGUUUGUCAGAACCCAGAGAGCCAAACGCUGACGCUGUGGCCAAGAAGACGAACCUCACUUUGGGCGUAUUCGUCGUGCCCUGAGAUGCAUCCUUCCCAGGUGCACACAGAUCUAUUGCCAUGUUUCCCAUCUUCGAACACACCCCCCCCCCCCAAGUCGGGUUCCCUCAUGCCUCUCCACUUACUGGCCGUUUUCUUUGCCCCCCACCCCGCCCCAAUGGCAAAACUCCACCAGAGAGCUCUCUCUGCCCACGCUCUCCAGUCGUGCUCCUUUUUGAAAAAGUUGUAUUAGGUCACACUUUUGCAAAAGAGUGUUAGAACAUUGCCUUAUGUUUACAGUAAAGAGGAGUCAAAGAGGACCUCAGGAGCUGGGUGCCCCCCAGCCUACACACCUCCAGUGGCAGGAGUGACCCCCAACUCAGCCACUGCUCCCCCGCUGUCCCCCAGCACUUACCUGAACACCAUCAGGGCCAUCCGGACGCUUCUCAUAAUCCCUUCAUCCCUGUCACCGCGGCCAGCACAAAAGGCCUGGCACUCCCGGGCCACGUCUCACCUCCUGGCCUCACCCUCACAUGCGUGUGUUCCCCUCAUCCGCGUAACAAAUCACAAGACACGUUUAGGCUUAAAACCACCGCCACCGUGGUCUUGUUCGUGUGUCUGAAAUUUGGACAGGAAUUUGCAGGAACAACCUGUUUCCUCCCCACAUGGGGUGACCCAGCCGGCAGGCUGGCGGUCCCCUUCCAAGGCGGUCCCCUCUGGGUCAGCGAGGCGGUGCUGGCUGCUGAUUUCUCUCCGCACAGGGUCUCCCCCCGGGGGGGGGGGGCAGUUUGGGUUUCCUCCCCGCAGAGUCGCUCAGAUCCAAAGCUUUUGUGUAGGUGUCGGUAGCUGCUGUAACGAGCUGCCACAGACAGCAGCUAAAACAACAGACAUGGAUUAUCUCACAGUUCCGUAGUUUGAGGUCUGCAGUGGGGCUCACGGGUGCGGGCGGGGCUGUGGUCCUUUCUGGAGGCUCCAGGGGGGGGAGUCCAUUUCCCGUGCUGUCAGGCGGGCAGCAGAAUUCAAUUCCUUACGGUCCGAGGACGGAGCUCCCCAUGCCGAGCUGGCUGUCAGCGAGGGCCGUUCCCAGCUUCUAGAGGCACCUGCAUUUCUUGCCUCGUGGCGCUCUUCCUCCUCUCAAAGCCGCACCUGUCCUGCCUCCUCGUCGUUGUCAUAUUGCCCAGAUCCGCU